rnacentral:rRNA from 1 species
AACCCGGUGAUCUAGCCAUGGGCAGGUUGAAGGUUGGGUAACACUAACUGGAGGACCGAACCGACUAAUGUUGAAAAAUUAGCGGAUGACUUGUGGCUGGGGGUGAAAGGCCAAUCAAACCGGGAGAUAGCUGGUUCUCCCCGAAAGCUAUUUAGGUAGCGCCUCGUGAAUUCAUCUCCGGGGGUAGAGCACUGUUUCGGCAAGGGGGUCAUCCCGACUUACCAACCCGAUGCAAACUGCGAAUACCGGAGAAUGUUAUCACGGGAGACACACGGCGGGUGCUAACGUCCGUCGUGAAGAGGGAAACAACCCAGACCGCCAGCUAAGGUCCCAAAGUCAUGGUUAAGUGGGAAACGAUGUGGGAAGGCCCAGACAGCCAGGAUGUUGGCUUAGAAGCAGCCAUCAUUUAAAGAAAGCGUAAUAGCUCACUGGUCGAGUCGGCCUGCGCGGAAGAUGUAACGGGGCUAAACCAUGCACCGAAGCUGCGGCAGCGACGCUUAUGCGUUGUUGGGUAGGGGAGCGUUCUGUAAGCCUGUGAAGGUGUGCUGUGAGGCAUGCUGGAGGUAUCAGAAGUGCGAAUGCUGACAUAAGUAACGAUAAAGCGGGUGAAAAGCCCGCUCGCCGGAAGACCAAGGGUUCCUGUCCAACGUUAAUCGGGGCAGGGUGAGUCGACCCCUAAGGCGAGGCCGAAAGGCGUAGUCGAUGGGAAACAGGUUAAUAUUCCUGUACUUGGUGUUACUGCGAAGGGGGGACGGAGAAGGCUAUGUUGGCCGGGCGACGGUUGUCCCGGUUUAAGCGUGUAGGCUGGUUUUCCAGGCAAAUCCGGAAAAUCAAGGCUGAGGCGUGAUGACGAGGCACUACGGUGCUGAAGCAACAAAUGCCCUGCUUCCAGGAAAAG